rnacentral:rRNA from 1 species
CAGCCGCCGCGGUAAUACGGAGGGAGCUAGCGUUGUUCGGAAUUACUGGGCGUAAAGCGCACGUAGGUGGUUAUUCAAGUCAGAGGUGAAAGCCCGGGGCUCAACCCCGGAACUGCCUUUGAAACUAGAUGACUGGAAUCUUGGAGAGGUCAGUGGAAUUCCGAGUGUAGAGGUGAAAUUCGUAGAUAUUCGGAAGAACACCAGUGGCGAAGGCGACUGACUGGACAAGUAUUGACGCUGAGGUGCGAAAGCGUGGGGAGCAAACAGGAUUAGAUACCCGCGUAGUCCCUGUCUCUUAUAC